UGCAUCGGCCGGGAAUCGAACCUGGGCCGCCCGCGUGGCAGGUGAGUAUUCUACCACUGAACCACCUAUGC
rnacentral:tRNA from 1 species